rnacentral:lncRNA from 1 species
GAAUAGCAAUUUAUAGUGGUUAGUCCAAUGAUUUAGGGAGUAUUUACAGUUUUGCUAAAUUAAUUGAUAAAAAAUUAGAACGAUGUCCAUGUACCAUGAAAAGAAGUUUAUCAUACAUUAAUACAAAGGUAUAAUGUGGUUUUAAAUUUUAAAACGAAUUAAAAGAUUAUAGGUUUCAUAUAUAGAGCAUUUACCGAAAACUCACUAUUUUCGUAGGGGG